rnacentral:rRNA from 1 species
CCUACGGGAGGCAGCAGUGAGGAAUAGUGGUCAAUGGACGGAAGUCUGAACCAGCCAUGCCGCGUGCAGGAAGACGGCGCUAUGAGUGGUAAACUGCUUUUGUACAAGGGUAAACCUGAAUACGUGUAUGCAGCUGAAAGGACUGUACGAAUAAGGAUCGGCUAACUCCGUGCCAGCAGCCGCGGUAAUACGGAGGAUCCAAGCGUUAUCCGGAUUUAUUGGGUUUAAAGGGUGCGUAGGAGGAUUGAUAAGUUAGAGGUGAAAUGUCCGAGCUUAACUCGGGAACUGCCUCUAGUACUGGUGAUCUAGAGCGUAGUUGCGGUAGGCGGAAUGUAUUGUGUAGCGG